rnacentral:rRNA from 1 species
GAUCGCGGCGACGCGGGCGGUCCGCCGCCGACGACGUCGCGAGAAGUCCACUGAACCUUAUCAUUUAGAGGAAGGAGAAGUCGUAACAAGGUUUCCGUAGGUGAACCUGCGGAAGGAUCAUUGCCGCC